GAAAGUCGACCAGAACAGAUUUCAUCUUAGUUUGACCACUCUUAAAAUCGUCCCCACCAAUCAAACUAUUUCUAUGGAUGGCUAAAUCAAUCAACCCUGUAAACAAGGUCCCACAAAUUUGAGUAAAUUCUACUUGAAUAGGAGUUGGAGUAAGGUAAAAAUUGGCGAGUUCUAUGAAGGAUGAGAAAAAAUACCUGGGACAAAAGUGUUCUGUGGGCUACCAUUGAUGAAAGGGACAUUUUCAAGGACACAAGCAAUUGCAUACAAUGUGGAAGGAGAUAUCUCCGACUCGUUUUUGUCCACAGAAGCCAGAAGAUUUUCCAUAGUGUCAUUUAGCCCCACAAUCACAUUACUAUACCUCUCUGUGUUGGCAGUCCACAGC
rnacentral:lncRNA from 1 species